AGAACGAACGCUGGCGGCAGGCCUAACACAUGCAAGUCGAACGCGACUUCGGUCGAGUGGCGCACGGGUGAGUAACGCGUGGGAACCUGUCCUAUGGUACGGAAUAACAUCGGGAAACUGGUGCUAAUACCGUAUAAGCCCCGAGGGGGAAAGAUUUAUCGCCAUAGGAGGGGCCCGCGUAGGAUUAGCUAGUUGGUGAGGUAAAGGCUCACCAAGGCGACGAUCCUUAGCUGGUCUGAGAGGAUGAUCAGCCACACUGGGACUGAGACACGGCCCAGACUCCUACGGGAGGCAGCAGUGGGGAAUAUUGGACAAUGGGGGAAACCCUGAUCCAGCCAUGCCGCGUGAGUGAUGAAGGCCUUCGGGUUGUAAAGCUCUUUCGCACGUGACGAUGAUGACGGUAACGUGAGAAGAGCCCGGCUACUUCGUGCCAGCAGCCGC
rnacentral:rRNA from 1 species